AUGUUUAGCGUCAAUCCAGUGAACGAAUAUCCACCAGUUGCUGUCAAAAAUAACACUAUCAGGAUACAGGAGGACAAAGGACCGACUCCAAUUUACAUUGCUCGUAUGCUGGAUCUGUUUCAAGACCGUGACUGUCCUAGGGUCACCCCUAUAGUCGGCAUAUCAAAGACUACUGCAGGGACAGAUGUUAGCGAGUAUUUUACUGUUAACACCACAACAGGAUUUCUGUAUCAAAUGAAGAA